rnacentral:rRNA from 1 species
UACGUAGGGGGCAAGCGUUGUCCGGAAUCAUUGGGCGUAAAGAGCGUGUAGGCGGCCAGAUAAGUCCGCUGUGAAAUCUCGAGGCUCAACUUCGAGCUGUCGGUGGAAACUGUCUGGCUAGAGUCCGGAAGAGGAGAAUGGAAUUCCUGGUGUAGCGGUGAAAUGCGCAGAUAUCAGGAAGAACACCCGUGGCGAAGGCGGUUCUCUGGGACGGUACUGACGCUGAGACGCGAAAGCGAGGGGAGCGAACAGG